CGGGCUCAGGCUAUACUCCACGGCUCAGUAAACCCUGGGUAUAACCCAAGCCCGAAUGU
ensembl:miRNA